UGCAUCGCGAUUGCACGUACUGAUGCAAUUUUCUAACUAAAUGUGGUUCACUGACUUGCCGUUUAGUUCAGUGAGAGGACUCGAUACACGGGAAAUUUUGCCAUUUCACGUUGCCAAUCGUGAAACAACGGUUUUGCAAACGGUCGACCGAUUUUCACAUUAUCCAGAUCCCACGUUUUUUUUUCAUGCAACUCGCCUGUUGUGCCACCUAGUGGUAGUUUCAGCGAAGUGAGAUCGAAAAUCACGAGUAACAGAAAGUAUAAUAACGUGCGUACUCUCUUUACAACACUAAUCCAUCGUCGUUUCAUCAUUUCAAAAAAUCAUGGGGGCCGUUUGAUUACCAAAAAAUCGAAGAUCGAUCGCAUCAUCGACGUUCAAGCAUUCCUGAAGAACGCUAAUUGUAAAAGUAAAACAGAUCCGCAGGUGGGGGUGGUGAUCGAGACACGCUGGCCAUACUAAUCACAAGUAAAAAUGGAACGUUGGCUGUAAAUGUUACUCGGAGAAUAUGGUCUUGUAACAUUUUUAAACGCAGUGAAUUGCACCAAUGGAAAAUUGUCGAUAAUUUGAAAAAGAUGAUAUAACAUGGCCUCAUUUUUAAAUCUCUGCUUUGAAUUUGUUAAAUAUUAGUAUUACAUGAAAACAAUUCAGGAAAUCCUAGUUAAAAGUUCAGUAAAAUGGUGAAAAAAAAUCGUACAUAUAAUGAGUUUCAAGGCUUCGCGAUGGUUUCAGUCAUAAGAAAAAUUUUUGCACUAGAUAAUAAAUUCAAACACGCGUUUGAAUUUAUUAUCUAUUGCAUGAUAUCUAAAAUCACUUUAAAAACGAAUUUACGAGAACUAUUCAUAUCAGAGUCUUUAACGCUUUGAAAUAAGAUCAAGUGGAAUUUUUGGACACAGAACAGCUAUUCGAUUUGUAAUACACAGAAAGAUGAAGAAAUUAUUUAUACUGAAGAAAUAUAUCGAACGUGAAUUAUUAUUAUUAGCAAUAAUGGUUGAAAUAAAGAAAAUGAAUGAAAGUGAAUAAAAUAUUUCAAGACAAAAUCCAAAUGUUUUCAACACUCUUCAAAUAAAAUAUUAUUUUGAAAUAGUGUGUAAAU